GGAGCUGUCAAGUCAUGCCUGACCGACAGGUGCUACGCUGAGUCAUGCCUGGUUGGCAGGUGCUACGCACGACAGUUCUUUCAGAAUAUUUGCAUCUGGACGGAUGAGCACAGGGCGGUGGCGCUGUUUGGCGUCGUGGUGGCAUCGACAGAUGUUCGGAUUGGCAAAGAUGAUACGGAUCUCUCUCUUGAAGAUGGGUCAGUGGACCGAUGAUGAUGGCGGCUUCUAACGUGGUGUGCGCUUUAAGUCUGCUACACCGGAUGUUCGUCCCGAUACGUUAUGUGGAUGGAUUGACGACAACACCGGUUUUAGAUAUGGGGAGUGAGAGCACUCCACAUUAUCGAGUCCGUAGGUGUGAAUGAUGGCUUCGGG
rnacentral:lncRNA from 1 species